rnacentral:rRNA from 1 species
GUGGCGGACGGGUGAGUAACGCGGGGGAAUCUGCCCUCAGGAGGGGGAUAACGGCUGGAAACGGCCGCUAAUACCCCAUAUGCCGAGAGGUGAAAUGAAUUUCGCCUGAGGAUGAGCCCGCGUCUGAUUAGCUAGUUGGUGGGGUAAUGGCCUACCAAGGCAACGAUCAGUAGCUGGUCUGAGAGGAUGAUCAGCCACACUGGGACUGAGACACGGCCCAGACUCCUACGGGAGGCAGCAGUGGGGAAUUUUCCGCAAUGGGCGAAAGCCUGACGGAGCAACGCCGCGUGAGGGAUGAAGGCCUCUUUGGCUGUAAACCUCUUUUCUCAAGGAAGAAGACCUGACGGUACUUGAGGAAUAAGCCACGGCUAAUUCCGUGCCAGCAGCCGCGGUAAUACGGGAGUGGCAAGCGUUAUCCGGAAUUAUUGGGCGUAAAGCGUCCGCAGGCGGCCUUGUAAGUCUGUUGUUAAAGCGUGGAGCUCAACUCCAUUUAAGCAAUGGAAACUACAAGGCUGGAGUGUGGUAGGGGCAGAGGGAAUUCCCGGUGUAGCGGUAAAAUGCGUAGAUAUCGGGAAGAACACCAGUGGCGAAGGCGCUCUGCUGGGCCAUAACUGACGCUCAUGGACGAAAGCCAGGGGGGCGAAAGGGAUUAGAUACCCCUGUAGUCCUGGCCGUAAACGAUGAACACUAGGUGUCGGGGGAAUCGACCCCCUCGGUGUCGUAGCCAACGCGUUAAGUGUUCCGCCUGGGGAGUACGCACGCAAGUGUGAAACUCAAAGGAAUUGACGGGGGCCCGCACAAGCGGUGGAGUAUGUGGUUUAAUUCGAUGCAACGCGAAGAACCUUACCAGGGUUUGACAUCCUGCGAACCCCUGAGAAAUCGGGGGGUGCCUUCGGGAGCGCAGAGACAGGUGGUGCAUGGCUGUCGUCAGCUCGUGUCGUGAGAUGUUGGGUUAAGUCCCGCAACGAGCGCAACCCACGUCUUUAGUUGCCAGCAUUCAGUUGGGCACUCUAGAGAGACCGCCGGUGAUAAACCGGAGGAAGGUGUGGAUGACGUCAAGUCAUCAUGCCCCUUACAUCCUGGGCUACACACGUACUACAGUGCUACGGACAAAGGGCAGCAAGCUCGCGAGAGUUAGCAAAUCCCAUAAACCGUGGCUCAGUUCAGAUCGUAGGCUGCAACUCGCCUACGUGAAGGAGU